GCCUACGGGGGGCAGCAGUGGGGAAUAUUGCACAAUGGGGGGAACCCUGAUGCAGCGACGCCGCGUGAAGGAAGAAGUAUUUCGGUAUGUAAACUUCUAUCAGCAGGGAAGAAAAUGACGGUACCUGACUAAGAAGCCCCGGCUAACUACGUGCCAGCAGCCGCGGUAAUACGUAGGGGGCGAGCGUUAUCCGGAAUUACUGGGUGUAAAGGGAGCGUAGACGGCGAGGUAAGCCUGAAGUGGAAGCCCGCGGCCCAACCGCGGAACUGCUUUGGGAACUGUUUUGCUGGAGUAUGGGAGGGGUA
rnacentral:rRNA from 1 species